CCCACAGCUGCGCCCCGCCGCGCCCGGGUGCCGCUUGCCGCACCCCCGAGCCUGAGCCCGUCUACCUCGUGGCUGCCUGAGGCCCGGGGUGGUUAUGAAGAUAAAAUGCAAUAAAUGUGUGUGAGGGCAACUGACGAGCCAGGAAGCCUUGGCAUCCAGAGUUAUUACUGGGACGUCAUGGGAAAUGAGGAUAUGGGAACAGAGUAUUUAUGCAUUUAUUCAAACUCAUCUCUAACAACCGUGCUUUGAAGGCUGGCUGCAUCCCAGGCCCUACAGGUGAACCGUGACUCUCAGCUCUCAGCUUCAGCCCCUGCUGUAGUGGCGGCAGCAGCAGAGGCUCACGUAGCCUCAAGCAGUAGGGGUUUUGUUUAAGGAUUCGGGUGCCCCAUGGUUUGGGGGUUUUGUUUUUAUUUUGCUGCAUGAUUUGGAUUCAAGAAGAAGGAUCUGUAGGACAGUGGGCUCCCGGGUCUGCCUUUGCCCUCAUAGCCUGCAGCAGAGCAGGACGUUCGCUUUCCCUUCUCCGCCUGUGUGUUCUUCCUGCACUGCCUAACUGCUGCUUGCUCAUUUGUGCUUCCGUGUCACCCCUCCUCAGCCCUCUGAACUCUGCACGUCAGGACUUGGCACACUUCCUAACUGCUGCUUACUCAUUUGUACUUCCGCGUCACCCCUCCUCAGCCCUCUGAACUCUGCGCUUGGACUUGGUGUGACUUCCCUUCCCCGCCUAUUCUCUAGAGGCAGUCUCUUGGUGACUCCUGGUUUGGGUCAGGGCACGCCUUAGGUCUCUGGAUGGCUACCAACCCCAGGUUCCCUCAGCUCUAGCCCCAUAAGAGAGGAGGCCUCAGGAGCGCCUAGGGCAGCCCUUUCAGCCUGGGCUGUGGGAAGGGAAGGUGGACAGAGAGGAGACCCCAUGCCUUUGUUCCCUGUUGAUGCAGAAGCAUUCUAGGCUCUGUCCCUUAUUCCUGCUGUGGGCUGAAGCUUCAGGCAAGAUCUAGGCUGGCUGGGGCGGUGGCUCAUGCCUGUAAUCCCAGCACUUUGAGAGGCCGAGACCGGUGGAUCACGAGAUCAUCAGGAGAUGAGACCAUCCUGGCUAACAUGUUAGCCUGGCCUCCAGAGCUCUUGGACUGCAGCACCCAUAAUGAUGGCCAAAGCCGCCCCCACGGCGACUCCUCCUGCUGAAGCAAAGUCAGGCAGAACAAUAAGAUGAGCAUGGUGGUGCAGGCCUGUAAUCUCAGCUCCUCAGGCGGGAGGAUCACUUGAUCCCCGGAAGUUUGAAGCUGGACUGCGCUGACCGCACCUGUGAAUACCACUGCCCGUCAAUCAGCCUAGGGGAAACAUUCUCGAGUGCGAGCAUGACGGCUUAGGUUGAUGUUUUUCAAAUUUUCCCAAUGAUGAGUAUUGUAAGGGACCAAAAUAAAAAAAUGCCAAUGCCUAGUCCCCUCUCAUCUAGAAUAAUUCCAUAGGUGAUGAUGGGGUCCAGGACUCUGAAUUUCGUCAAUUUUACCAAAUACUUCGUCCAGUGAGGCAAAUAUGGAAACACUUGGAUCACCUCUUCGUGAACGCACAUCAGCGCAUACGCCGGCUGUUUUUAUCAGGCGCUCACCCCUCAUCCAAUGGCGUGACUAGUUGUGGGUGGAGCCCGAAAUCUGGCUGCCUAGAGAAGGCUGAAGGUCCAGUUAUAGCAUAACUAAUGUUUCCCCAGAGCUCACAUACGUGCCAAGCACCGUGCUACAGCCUCCACAGCCCCUUCAUUUAAUCUUCCCGAUGGGCCUAUGAAAUAGGUGCUCCUGGCCCGCACCGUGGCUCAUGCCUCUAAUCCCAGCACUUUGGGAAGCUGAGGAGGGAGGGUCGCUUGAGUCCAGGAUUUCAAGACCAGCCUGGGAAACACACAGAGAGCCUAUCUCUACGAAAAUUUAAAAAAUUAGCCGGGUGUGGUGAUGCCUGACUGUGGUCCCACCUACUUAGUAGGCUAAGGUGGGAGGAUCCUCUGAGCCCGGGAAGCUGAGGCUGCAGUUAGCACUGCACUCCAGCAUGGGCGACAGAGUGAGACCCUGACUCAAAAAAAAAAAAAAAAAAGAAUAGGUGCUACUUGUAGUUCCCAUUUUACCCACCAAGAAACUGAAGAUCUGAGAGACAAAGCCUACAGGGUGACCGCUAGUCACUGGUAGGGCUGGGAUUUGAACAGGGGCGGUUUAACAACUGAUCUCUCGACCAUAAUGCGUGUUGCCCAAGAAAAAAGACCGUCCUCACGGUCCUAUCCACUCCGGACUUUGCAAUUCCGUUAUUUCGUAAAUUGAGGCCUAUAAAUAGUUUGCUUACCCGUUGUCUUAGUCCCCAGUAACAUGCAGAACUAAAGAAGAAACUGAAGGAGCACCGAUUUUGUUCACCUUGCUUUUUGGUUUAGUUCUGGAGGAGAACACAGGUGCACUUAGAACAGGAUCCACACUUACCAGAGGCUUGAUUCAUUUUAGCUGCAAAGAAAACCAGUCCUCGUCUAC
rnacentral:lncRNA from 1 species